CGAACACUUAAAUUUAUAUUCCGGGUGGCCAUUUUCCUUUCUGUGCCAUCCACUCAUAUACGACUUGUACCAACCCGCGAGCAAAUCAUUACCACCCGGUCUUGAUAUAUCCUCGAAGCAUACAGCACUCCAUCCUUUCCAAACUUUCCUCUGAAAUCUACAUUCGUAAAACAUCCCGAGGCGAACAAUCACCCAAGCCAUAUCUGUCAUUUCCAGCGACGUGGCUUAUACUGAACGUUACAUCAACUAUUAUUUUAGGGCCCCCCGGAGGGAACUACCAAUUUCACAGCAUGGGAAAUUGAUACAGUGGAUAUAUUGAAUCAUUCUGUCGGGAGAAAGUUUGAGACCCAUUUAUAGCAGGGAAAACAGAUUGAUAAAUCGAAGUCCUGAAAAAUGGCAACUUGAUGAUACACCUUGCCUUUUGGAUGGAUACCAAAUUACGUUGUGUUUUGUUUCUCAAUCAAGAAUUCGAGUUCAAAAAAAAGAUAGGUCAUUUCUUUCCUACCUUAUCCAUUGUAUACAGGCCGGCCCCUUUGUUUCAAUGAGGAUGUAUGCACACUCGACCCAUGGACAUAGAAUGGGGGUUUUGUGUAUUCAAGGAUUACUCCUGAAAAAUUGUACGGAAGCUUGAUGUGGGCUAGUUAUUAUUAGCCUAGAGCGCCAUUUGCAAACGCUCAAAUGUUUAAAUAUUUUACCGUUGGAAGGUUAUUCCUUCCAACUCCACGUUACCCAACCUGUCACUCCCCCAAUCGAAUCCACCUCUCUUCCUCCCUUGCCAGACAAGCCAAGCUGCUGUCGAAAUUCGUAGUUCCCUUUUAUUAAAGUUUCUAGCAUUUCGUCAUGUCGGGUUUGGUUUGGCGUUUGAUCAUUUUUAACUUGCUCAACUGUUUGGAGUUUCCGGACAGCCGGGGGUUAAAGUUUUAACCUAUAUAUAUAUAUAUAUAUAUUGGCGGAUCCGUGUCCCAUAUAAGACAUGAUCCAUGGAAAGCUGAGGGUGAAGAGCGUUUCCAUGCUCUCAUGAAACCAUUCUCGAGCCGUUCAACUAGAUAAUGACGAGGGCC
rnacentral:sRNA from 2 species